rnacentral:rRNA from 1 species
UACGUAGGGUGCGAGCGUUGUCCGGAAUUAUUGGGCGUAAAGGGCUCGUAGGCGGUCUGUCACGUCGGGAGUGAAAUCACGGGGCUUAACCCCGUGCCUGCUUCCGAUACGGGCAGACUAGAGGUAUGCAGGGGAGAACGGAAUUCCUGGUGUAGCGGUGAAAUGCGCAGAUAUCAGGAGGAACACCGGUGGCGAAGGCGGUCUCUGGGACGGUACUGACGCUGAGACGCGAAAGCGUGGGGAGCGAACAGG